rnacentral:RNase_P_RNA from 1 species
GAAGCAGGCAAGGCGGUCGCCGUCGGACGUUCUGCGUCCGGUGGAGGAAAGUCCGAGCUCCACAGGGCAGGGUGCUGGGUAACACCCAGUGGGGGUGACCCUAAGGAAAGUGCCACAGAAAAUAUACCGCCCGACCACCGGAAGACGGCGUGGACGCCGUCAGGUAUCCACCGUUUGUCUUCGGUGGCCUUCGGGUAAGGGUGAAAUGGCGAGGUAAGAGCUCACCGCGGUUUCGGGCAACCGGACCGGCACGGUAAACCCCACCCGGAGCAAGACCAAAUAGGGAGGCGAUAUCCCACCGGGGAUGAAAGGACUGCCCGUCCAAGCCUUCGGGUAGGUUGCAUGAGCCCACGGGUAACCGCGGGCCCAGAUGAAUGAUCGCCGCCCCAUUCGUGGGGAACAGAACUCGGCUUAUUGCCUGCUUCGAUA